UACAGAGGGCUCAAGCGUUGUUCGGAUUCAUUGGGCGUAAAGGGUGCGUAGGCGGCGCGGUAAGUCGGGUGUGAAAUCUCGGAGCUUAACUCCGAAACUGCAUUCGAUACUGCCGUGCUUGGGGACUGGAGAGGAGACUGGAAUUUACGGUGUAGCGGUGAAAUGCGUAGAUAUCGGGAGGAACACCAGUGGCGAAGGCGAGUCCCUGGACAAUUCCUGACGCUGAGGCACGAAAGCUAGGGGAGCAAACAGG
rnacentral:rRNA from 1 species